CAAGGAGGGUGUGAGAGGGAGGUGAGAAAGAUGUCUAGGACAGAGAAAGGGAGGUUGCAGUAUUCCACAUUCCAGUGCAAGCACGAGGAGGCGCAGGAGAGGGAGACACUUAAGUCAAACACCUACCACAUUCAUAUCUACUGACACGCCAGCACUGAUUUCAAGGAGAAUAUAUCCAUACCGCAUACAGGAAGAAAAUCAACACCAUGUCAAAAAUUACACGCAAGUGAGGAAACACACCAAAUCUAAAUCACAAGGAAAUCUCAUUCCCAGUAAGUGGCCUAUGAAACAAACUUCAAUAAUCUGCUGAAAGAAGCCUCUUCUCAUAUUUUAUGGGAAUAGAGAGAAAAGAGAGACUUCAAGAUAAUGAGGGAGAGAAGAGUUCUUACAUAUCAAGAAAAAUCUUCAAGACUGAAAUGGCACUUCUCACAGCAUUCAUAUGAACUGCAUAAAGGUUCCUGGACCAGCCUGCAUUGUAUGAUUUUCCCUUCUUGAAACAGAAAAUAAUACUGACAUCAGAAUAGAGGUGCAGAAAGGGA
rnacentral:lncRNA from 1 species